rnacentral:lncRNA from 12 species
GCUCCUUCUGGGCAAUCCGAAGUCACAAUGGAUUUCAUUCGUUUUGUUAACACUUUCAUGCAGAUUUCGGUGCUAGCCUUUGAGGUCGGGGGUGGUGGUGGAGGGGAAGAAACAGCAUUGGAACCUUUUCCAGAGAGAAGUGCAAAUUGCCCUUUUCUUGCCUCACAAGGAAGCCUUGCGCCUCUAAUGCCUCGCUGAGGCUGAAGCAUUUGGAAAAGCCCCGCACUCAGGUCACACGCCCGAGCGACUCUUUGAACUCUGCCAAACGGAGAGGGGAACAAACCCACAAUUUGCAAAGGAGUCUGCGGCGAUGUUCAAUUUGCAUUUAAGAAAAGGGUGAUCCUGAUGACCCUUUACCUCUGAUAAUGAGACGUAUCCAUGUGGACACAGCAGCCGGCAAUUUCCAUAUUCAAUCUCCACCGCAGAACUGUUUCGUGCCUUCCCCUGUGUCACAGCGCUUGUCCUCUGUGCCGUGGAGAGAUGCUGAGGGCCGAAGGGUGACACACACAUCCCUGUGUCUAACUACAUCCUCCCAGGGAUGUGAGCAGUGGGAGAAAAGAUCUUUGUUGUGGACCUGUGAGACACUAAUCAGGAUUCUUGUGAUUUCUCACCAUGGUGGGUGGAAAGAGGCAUGUUCCCC